AACGCUAGCUACAGGCUUAACACAUGCAAGUCGCGGGGUAACAUCUGGGAGAGCUUGCUCUUCCAGGAUGACGACCGGCGCACGGGGGAGUAACGCGUAUCCAACCUGGCCCAUACCACGGGAUAGCCCGUCGAAAGGCGGAUUAAUACCGUAUGCUGUCAUUAAGAUGCAUAUAUUGAUGACGAAAGGACUGGCGGUAUGGGAUGGGGAUGCGUCUGAUUAGCUUGUUGGCGGGGUAACGGCCCACCAAGGCGACGAUCAGUAGGGGUUCUGAGAGGAAGGUCCCCCACAUUGGAACUGAGACACGGUCCAAACUCCUACGGGAGGCAGCAGUGAGGAAUAUUGGUCAAUGGGCGUAAGCCUGAACCAGCCAAGUAGCGUGAGGGAAGACUGCCCUACGGGUUGUAAACCUCUUUUGUUUGGGAAUAAAGUGCGGGACGCGUCCCGCAUUGCAUGUACCAUUUGAAUAAGGACCGGCUAAUUCCGUGCCAGCAGCCGCGGUAAUACGGAAGGUCCGGGCGUUAUCCGGAUUUAUUGGGUUUAAAGGGAGCGCAGGCCGUGGGUUAAGCGUGUCGUGAAAUUCCGUCGCUCAACGGCGGACGUGCGGCGCGAACUGGUCCACUUGAGUACGCGGGACGUUGGCGGAAUUCGUGGUGUAGCGGUGAAAUGCUUAGAUAUCACGAAGAACUCCGAUUG
rnacentral:rRNA from 1 species